CUCCCGAGCCUGCGAAUUCUUCGUCUUCAGAGCUGAACAAGGAAAAUUCAGCAAGUUACAAAUAAUCUAAACCGGGGGCGUGCAACUUUUCCACUCAAGGACCACAAUGGACUUCUUCAAUUCAGGGACAGAGGGACCACAGCAAUGUGGUCGUUGAGACGCCGGCGUUUCCUGUUUCGCGCAGCAAGCGUCAUCGGCCGGCGGUGGCUCGCCAUGCCGUCCUCAGACAAUGCGGCGCCGGCGGCAAUGUCUCUGGCUCCCCCUGACGGGACAUGGCAUCACCGGGGGUUAUUCUGAGGGAAGGUUCUUGCGUGAAGCACCCUAUUCACUCAAAAUCGUGGCCCUACUGUAAUUUAAUUCACCAUGCUAAAUCAUUUAUUGGUGAAAAAAUUAAACAAAAACUUUGCUCGGACAAAUUUGCUUCCCCAUCUGUGUUUGAGUGGAUGAACACUCCUGACCACAAGAUGAGGAAAUAUGAUAGUGACACAAAUAUCAAAAGCAAGUGGCCAUUUUGAUGUUUUUAAUCCUAACGUGGUCCACUCACCGGUGUUUAUGUCACCACCGUCUUCCUCGAUGGCCUCGUCAAUGGCAUCGUCAAAGUCGUCAAAUCUGAAGCAAAAAAAAAAAAGUCAUAUGUAGUUUGUAGACCAGUUUAACAUAUUGUAAACCAGUGAUACCGGUUAACCGGUUACACACUAACCUGUAGCUGAUGUGCUUCCUGGCUCUGGUUGACCUCCUCCCCAAAUUUUUUGACUUUAUGGCAUCCUUUUUUUUGGCCAUCUUUUCAUCUUCCUCAUUUCCCUGUGAGGACACAAUAAAAUGUCUUAAGUUUUAAA